AUAAAAAAAAAAGUAAAAAAUAAAUGAAAGAGAUAGAUUUUUGUCCAACGGACAUCGUGCGUUGCACGUGCAGUUUCAACCCUCCAAAAUGUCCUCCUGAGAAUUCACGUCUACCGGCCGACCAAUUCAGGGUUCCCUGGUUUAUCUUGAUUGUGGUAGAUUCGCAGUUGUUCAGUGCAGCAUUCCCUUGAUGGCAAUCAAACCCUUUGUUGGGGCCGCCAUGGCUGCAACUUCAGAAGAAAUGCAGAAGUAAAUUUGCUUAAGAGUGGCUUAGAUGCAUAGGCAAUGGGGUGAGGAAGGUGACACUUUUUAUUUACUUACAUAGAGAGGCUGCUCCAUAGUUUUGUUUUCAAUUGUGUUUUUAUUCCGGUAAGUUGUAAAGCAUGAAGAUGGGCAAGUGGCUUUCUAUAUCUGAGAAGGAGGGGAUAAAGAAUAGUUGAAUACCACUUUCUUGAUCUAUCAAUGUCCAGGAAGUCCUGAUAUUCGCGGAGUUUUCUUAUAUAUAAUCCAUUGCUUUUAGUCAUCGUUAUUGGUGUUGAUAAAUGACAGGAUAACAAGGGAUAUAUUCCUAAUCUGUGUGUUCUGGCGUGUGGUUUAUACCGUUUGUGCCAACUUGUCAAACAUUAGAAAACCUCCCGAGUUGUCGAAAAGCCAAAGUGUCUGUGAUGGGUGCUUAGAGCCAAAUUGUAUGGCAGGCAUUCUUCUGUUAGCGUAGCGCCAUAGCCUUGCUUUUGACCGAAAAUACUAUACACAAGAGGAUAUGUCUCUUUUGUGCCUUUCAACUUCACGAAAUUUUGUUCUCUGGGAAUAACUUUACACUCCACUUCUAUCGUGGCAUUGAAUAUAAUCCUUCUUUGCACACGCCCCCCCUCCCUCCCGCACAGUUUCUUCCACAUAUAACGAGUAACAUUUCUGAAUUAAGUUUCAUAUAACUCAUCAUUUGCCACCACUUGGAAAAGGUGGUAGCAAAACUGAGGUCAAAGAUGCAGCAACCUUCCAUUUUCUCGAGGAUGGAACUCCUAUACUUCCAUUAACAAGCUAGACAGUGUGGAUUCGGACAUAGAUACAGAGAGGAUUAGUAUGGUCGGGAUUCUAGCUUCCUCAGCGGAUUGCAUCCACACGAUCAAAUAGAAACCAAUUGUAUAUAUAUUGUUUGUCGUAUUUCUAUGGUUUUGUUGUGUUUCAUGUCGAAUGUAGAUUGUAGCUGUACAAUGUAUUCUAGUCUCUACUGUGAUGUAGAUAUCUGCUGCUUCAACUUCUUUCAUGUCUCUUAAACAAGAAAUCUGUAAGGUUCCCCAGAACACAUUUUUGUGGAAAAUGACCAUUGAUGCUCAUCUUUCAGCGGUUUA